rnacentral:snRNA from 1 species
GGGAACUCACUUUGGUAUCACACACUAAAAUAUUAGAACCAAACAGAAGAUUAGUAUGGUGCCUGCAAAAGGAUGAUGUGUAAAUUUGUGAAGCAUUCCAUUAUUCA